rnacentral:tRNA from 1 species
GCGCGGAUGGUUUAGACUGGUAUAACGACUUUUUUAUUUAUCAAAUAAAAACGUUAAACGCUCACACCGUGUAUAUACGAAGGUCGGGGGUUCAAAUCCCUCUCUGCGCACCA